rnacentral:tRNA from 1 species
GCCUGGGUGGCUCAGUCGGUUAAGCGUCCGACUUCGGCUCGGGUCAUGAUGUCACGGUCGGUGGGUUCGAGCCCCGCUUCAGGCU